UACGUAGGGUGCGAGCGUUAAUCGGAAUUACUGGGCGUAAAGCGUGCGCAGGCGGUUUCGUAAGACAGGUGUGAAAUCCCCGGGCUCAACCUGGGAACUGCGCUUGUGACUGCGAAGCUGGAGUGUGGCAGAGGGAGGUGGAAUUUCGGGUGUAGCGGUGGAAUGCGUAGAUAUCCGAAAGAACACCGGUGGCGAAGGCGACUCGCUGGGCUCUUGCUGACACUGAAUCACGACAGCGUGGGGAGCAAACAGG
rnacentral:rRNA from 1 species